AUUUAGUGAGGUCUUCGGACUGGCGGUAAUCCCUAUCGACUUGUCGGUAUCGAUGAACGCUGGAAAGAUGACCAAACUUGAUCAUUUAGAGGAAGUAAAAGUCGUAACAAGGUUUCCGUAGGUGAACCUGCGGAAGGAUCAUUA
rnacentral:rRNA from 1 species